rnacentral:rRNA from 1 species
CCUACGGGUGGCAACAGUGAGGAAUAUUGGUCAAUGGACGAGAGUCUGAACCAGCCAAGUAGCGUGAAGGAUGACUGCCCUAUGGGUUGUAAACUUUUUUUAUAUGGGAAUAAAAUGUUCCACGUGUGCGAUUUUGUAUGUACCAUAUGAAUAAGGAACGGCUAACUCCGUGCCAGCAGCCGCGGUAAUACGGGGGAUGCGAGCGUUAUCCGGAUUUAUGUGGGUUAAAGGGUGCGUAGGCGGGCGUUUAAGCCGGCGGUCAAAUGUCGGGGCUCAACCCCGGCCUGCCGUCGGAACUGGGUGCCUUGAGUGGGCGAGAGGUAUGCGGAAUGCGUGGUGUAGCGGUGAAAUGCAUAGAUAUCACGCAGAACCUCGAUGGCGAAGGCAGCAUACCGGCGCCCUACUGACGCUGAGGCACGAAAGUGCGGGUAUCGAACAGGAUUAGAUACCCGGGUAGUC